AUUGAACGCUGGCGGCAUGCUUUACACAUGCAAGUCGAACGGUAACAGGCCGCAAGGUGCUGACGAGUGGCGAACGGGUGAGUAAUGCAUCGGAACGUGCCCAGUCGUGGGGGAUAACGCAGCGAAAGCUGCGCUAAUACCGCAUACGAUCUCUGGAUGAAAGCGGGGGACCGAAAGGCCUCGCGCGAUUGGAGCAGCCGAUGUCAGAUUAGGUAGUUGGUGGGGUAAAGGCCCACCAAGCCAACGAUCUGUAGCUGGUCUGAGAGGACGACCAGCCACACUGGGAUUGAGACACGGCCCAGACUCCUACGGGAGGCAGCAGUGGGGAAUUUUGGACAAUGGGCGCAAGCCUGAUUCAGCAAUGCCGCGUGCAGGAAGAAGGCCUUCGGGUUGUAAACUGCUUUUGUACGGAACGAAACGGUCCGGGUUAAUACCCUGGGCUAAUGACGGUACCGUAAGAAUAAGCACCGGCUAACUACGUGCCAGCCGCCGCGGUAAGAC
rnacentral:rRNA from 1 species